UUAUAGCUCAAUUGGUAGAGCAUAAGACUUGUAAUCUCAGGGUUGUGGGUUCGAACCUCACGUUGGACAA